rfam:Tepidanaerobacter acetatoxydans Re1 complete genome
GGGGGCGUUUGGUUUCGACGGGGGUGGCAGUGGUAAGAGCUGCAGGCCGAGCUUUCCGACUCGUAAAUCCGGAAGCGAAUUUAAACGCCAAUAACGAUUUAGCUUACGCUGCUUAAUUAAAGCGGUGCGUCCUUCCUUGGCUUUGCCCGAGAGCCGGGGAUAAGGGCGUCAAAAAGUCGGGAUUUUCUUUUGGCAUUGCUCUGGUGCUAAAAGAGAAACUUACAGAGCUGGCCGAGCUUUAAUCCUUCCCUCAGGAGUAAAGCCGGCAAGAUUUAAAAUGAGGGAUAAGCUUGUAGACGCUCUUAUUGAUGUACCUCCGGACAGGGGUUCGAUUCCCCUCGCCUCCACCA